GCGGGGGUUCCCAAGCCAGGUCUAAAUCGGGUGUUAAACCCCUAGGAUAAGGGGGAGGACUUAAGAUCCUCUGGCGAAGGCCUUCGCGGGUUCGAAUCCCGCCCCCCGCA
rnacentral:tRNA from 1 species